rnacentral:rRNA from 1 species
GACAGAGGGGGCAAGCGUUGCUCGGAAUUACUGGGCGUAAAGGGCGCGUAGGCGGGAUGGCAAGUCGGUCGUGAAAUCCCUCGGCUCAACUGAGGAUCGUCGAUCGAUACUGCCGUUCUUGAGGAUUGCAGAGGAGACUGGAAUUCCCGGUGUAGCGGUGAAAUGCGCAGAUAUCAGGAGGAACACCGGUGGCGAAGGCGGGUCUCUGGACCGAUACUGACGCUGAGGAGCGAAAGCGUGGGGAGCGAACAGG